ensembl:lncRNA
CGAAGCUAGACAGACAGAGGCCUGGGAGUGUUUGGUUAGGGGCAUCGAGACGUUGUUGUCACUGGUAUGAGGCCGAAUUCUCUCUUUACGGCCUUCGCAAGGAAGACAAAAGGAAUGCUUCCUGCUAUAGGCACAGUUCAAUGCUGGAUUUUCACAACGAUCAUACUGAAAGACACGUCAAUUCACACUUUGUUCAUUUAGGAUCACGAUCUGUGUGGUUUGCAGAUUUUACAGGGGACACGAGUCACGACAGAUGUUAUCCAUUUUCUUCUGAUGAAAAAUGCUUAAUUUGAUUACUAAUUGAAUAACUAACCCUAUGGAUCAUUGCAUUUUGCUAUUCUAUUAUUGUAGCUUGUACUUUGCUGUCAUGCAUUACAAUGAAAAUGAGAACCGCAAGCGAGCUACCCAAUAUGCAGGACAGCUGUCUUCAAGGUUGCGGUCAUUUUUUAUCACAAACAUUGAUGAUGAUAAAUCACGUGUCUGAAAAACAUGCCUAAUGACCAAUUACAAGUGUGGGCCAGCUGACCAAUCAGAGAAGACUGGGCAGCUCUGAUUGGUGAUCAAGGCAAACAACAUACACGUUUCCAGACCCAAGGAAUCAUGAUUAUGUCCAUUUGUUAAGUAUUAUUACUCAGAAUCGAAAUUGAAAAAUCCUAAUUAAAAGGUGACCAGAAGAAUUGGAAGGAUUUUACCAAUGUGAUGCUUUGUGGUGACAAUACUAAAUAUAAAGGUGGGACCUAAUUGUUUUGGCCCCCAUUUAAGAAAGACUUAUGAUGAAAGUAACGGAUGUGACACUCGAAACGAGUGUGAUCAACAAGGAGUCAGAUUGUGAAAUAAAGCAAUCCUAGCUGGCUAUAUCGUAUCUUUUCAUUGUAAAUCUAAAGAACACAGAAACAUAGCCAUGGGCAAGCGCACACACACACA